rnacentral:rRNA from 1 species
UACGUAAGGGGCAAGCGUUGUCCGGAAUCACUGGGCGUAAAGCGCACGUAGGCGGCUUAGUAAGUCAGGGGUGCAAGCUCCAGGCCUAACCUGGAAACUGCCUCUGAAACUGCUUCGCUUGAGUAUCAGAGGGGAAACUGGAAUUCACGGUGUAGCGGUGAAAUGCGUAGAUAUCGUGGAGAACACCCGUGGCGAAGGCGGGUUUCUGGCUGAUUACUGACGCUGAGGUGCGAAAGCUAGGGGAGCGAACGGG